UUUGUGUAAAAUCAUGCUUUAAUCUAUUGGGUUGUUAUGUUGAUCUUUCACUCGAAUUGGUUUGUGGUGAAUGGUUUAAUUUCAACACAACCUCGAUCUAAGAUUCUGUCAGCCUUAUCUCCAUUAUCUUCUUGUGCAGGGUCUUCCUUGUUUAACUGUUUUUGGAUGAUUGAAAUUCUGAAAUUCAUCCAUUAAUGAUUAAUCUUGCCAUCCAUGUUUAACUGUUCAAGUAAUCUAACAGCAAGUGAAGUGAGCAAUUGUUUUAAGG
rnacentral:lncRNA from 1 species